GCAAGUAUAGUAUAACGGUUAUUAUGCCAGUCUUCCAAACUGGAUAUGAGAGUUCGAUUCUCUCUACUUGCU
rnacentral:tRNA from 1 species